rnacentral:tRNA from 1 species
GGGGCCGGGACUCAGUGGAAGGGCACCUGUUUGGCCUGCAGAAAGCCCUGGGUUCGAUCCCCAGCGCCUCCA